UACACAAGAUGGUUUUUCUAAGUGUAGGAC
rnacentral:piRNA from 1 species